AACGCACAUUGCGCCCUUUGGUAUCCCGAAGGGCAUACCUGUUCGAGCGUCAUUUCAACCCUCAAAUUUAACUAUUUGAUGUUGGGCAGUGCCUGUAGAAGGCAUGCCUAAAAGUCAGUGACGGUUGCAAAUCCAACCUAGGCGUACAAGUAUCGCGAUAAGGGACGAUUGGGGCCUGUCUUAAUUAAAAAUUCUAAAUGUUGACCUCGGAUCAGGUAGGGAUACCCGCUGAACUUAA
rnacentral:misc_RNA from 1 species